rfam:Schistosoma margrebowiei strain Zambia genome assembly, scaffold: SMRZ_contig0000507
AUCCGGUUGUCGAGUCCCAACAUAGGGCGAAACGCGUGUCACGGAU